rnacentral:rRNA from 1 species
AACGAACGCUGGCGGCAGGCUUAACACAUGCAAGUCGAGCGCCCCGCAAGGGGAGCGGCAGACGGGUGAGUAACGCGUGGGAAUCUACCCAUCUCUACGGAAUAACGCAUGGAAACGUGUGCUAAUACCGUAUACGUCCUUCGGGAGAAAGAUUUAUCGGAGAUGGAUGAGCCCGCGUUGGAUUAGCUAGUUGGUGGGGUAAAGGCCUACCAAGGCGACGAUCCAUAGCUAGUCUGAGAGGAUGAUCAGCCACACUGGGACUGAGACACGGCCCAGACUCCUACGGAAGGCAGCAGUGGGGAAUAUUGGACAAUGGGCGCAAGCCUGAUCCAGCCAUGCCGCGUGAGUGAUGAAGGCCCUAGGGUUGUAAAGCUCUUUCACCGGUGAAGAUAAUGACGGGAACCGGAGAAGAAGCCCCGGCUAACUUCGUGCCAGCCGCCGCAGUAACAC